AGGGAGGGCAACCGGUUAGGAGUUUAGAGGGCAACAGGGAGCCACUGAGGUUGGGUGGUUGGUUAACAGGACAGUGACAGAUCUGUGCUUCAGGAAGACCAGGUCUGUGGAGUGUAGACUCGUGUGGAAGCAGAGAACAGAGAGGGAGGAAAACAUGGCAAUAAAGGACCAGGAAAAAAGUAUUGGGUUUUCCACCAGCUCGGCCACCAAGCAGGCAACUCCGACCACGUCACUUCUGCUGCCUGAGACCAGUCGGCACCCCUGACAAAUGAGAGAGUUGGGCUAGAAUCCAGGCAAGAGUCCUCCCAGGCAGGAGUGCUAAGGCCUGGGCCAGGAGUCAGCAGCCGGGAGGACAGGAGUGGUCUCACCCCAGCCACGCCUCCUUCGCCAAAGAAGACGCCAAACCAGCUGUGGCACAGGCACCAAC
rnacentral:lncRNA from 1 species